GUGCCUGUAGCUCAGUGGAUUAGAGCGCGUGGCUACGGACCACGAGGUCGGGGGUUCAAAUCCCUCCAGGCACGCCA
rnacentral:tRNA from 5 species